rnacentral:rRNA from 1 species
ACGUCCGAUAGCUAGUUGUAGGUAAAGCCUACCAAGGCGACGAUCGGUAGCUGUUCUGAGAGGAAGAUCAGCCACACUGGGACUGAGACACGGCCCAGACUCCUACGGGAGGCAGCAGUGGGGAAUAUUGGACAAUGGGGGAAACCCUGAUCCAGCAAUGCCGCGUGUGUGAAGAAGGCCUGAGGGUUGUAAAGCACUUUAGUAGAUGAGGAAGUGGUGCUAAAGAAUAUGUAGCACCAUUGACGCUAGUCUAAGAAUAAGCACCGGCUAACUCUGUGCCAGCAGCCGCGGUAAUACAGAGGGUGCAAGCGUUAAUCGGACUUACUGGGCGUAAAGGGCGCGUAGGCGGAUAUUUAAGUCAGAUGUGAAAUACCUGGGCUCAACCGAGGGGAUGGCAUAUGAGACUGGAUGUCUAGAGUAUGGUAGAGGGGAGCGGAAUUUCCAGUGUAGCGGUGAAAUGCGUAGAGAUUGGAAAGAACACCAGUGGCGAAGGCGGCUCUCUGGACUAAUACUGACGCUGAGGCGCGAAAGCAUGGGGAUCAAACAGGAUUAGAUACCCUGGUAGUCCAUGCUGUAAACGAUGAAUACUAGCCGUUUGGGUAGCUAAUGGCUACUUGAGUGGCGCAGCUAACGCGAUAAGUAUUCCGCC